rnacentral:rRNA from 1 species
AUUGAACGCUGGCGGCAGGCCUAACACAUGCAAGUCGAGCGGAUGAGGGGAGCUUGCUCCUGGCUUCAGCGGAGGACGGGUGUGUAAUGCCUAGGAAUCUGCCUGGUAGUGGGGGAUAACGUCCGGAAAUGGGCGCUAAUACCGCAUACGUCCUGAGGGAGAAAGUGGGGGAUCUUCGGACCUCACGCUAUCAGAUGAGCCUAGGUCGGAUUAGCUAGUUGGUGGGGUAAAGGCCUACCAAGGCGACGAUCCGUAACUGGUCUGAGAGGAUGAUCAGUCACACUGGAACUGAGACACGGUCCAGACUCCUACGGGAGGCAGCAGUGGGGAAUAUUGGACAAUGGGCGAAAGCCUGAUCCAGCCAUGCCGCGUGUGUGAAGAAGGUCUUCGGAUUGUAAAGCACUUUAAGUUGGGAGGAAGGGCAGUAAGUUAAUACCUUGCUGUUUUGACGUUACCAACAGAAUAAGCACCGGCUAACUUCGUG